GUUGUUUCCUAUUAGCUGGCAUGUGAGUAUUAAUUUAAUUACAGAAAUCAAAUUUGUAUGGCAUAUAAUCUGUAAAAUAAGUUUUUGCAAUAUAUGAAAAAACUUCUAUUAACAUUCAAGUAUUACUUGAGCAUGCUUGCCUCCACACAAACACUGAAAGCAUGUCAAUUUUGCAGCUAUAUUCAAGCUUCCGGAAGCUUAACUAUGUCAAAACUACCAAAGGAGGUCAUACCUCUUGCGAGUUGCAAGAGAAAUGGGAUUAACAAGGUAAUGCAUUAAGAAAUGC
rnacentral:misc_RNA from 1 species